rnacentral:rRNA from 1 species
UACGGAGGGUGCAAGCGUUGCUCGGAAUCACUGGGCGUAAAGCGUCCGCAGGCGGUCAAUUAAGUCGGGAGUGAAAGCCCAGGGCUCAACCCUGGAACUGCUUUCGAUACUGGUUGACUUGAGUACGGGAGAGGGAAGUGGAAUUCCUGGUGUAGAGGUGAAAUUCGUAGAUAUCAGGAGGAACACCAGUGGCGAAAGCGGCUUCCUGGCCCGAUACUGACGCUCAUGGACGAAAGCGUGGGGAGCAAACAGG